rnacentral:tRNA from 1 species
GGCCCCUUAACUCAGUUGGUAGAGUGUGAGAUUCCAAAUCUCAAAGUCAAGUGUUCAAGUCACUUAGGGGUCAUAU